GAUGAACGCUGGCGGCGUGCUUAACACAUGCAAGUCGAGCGAAGCACUUUAUUUGAUUUCCUUCGGGACUGAUUAUUUUGUGACUGAGUGGCGGACGGGUGAGUAACGCGUGGGUAACCUGCCUUGUACAGGGGGAUAACAGUUGGAAACGGCUGCUAAUACCGCAUAAGCGCACGGCAUCGCAUGAUGCAGUGUGAAAAACUCCGGUGGUAUAAGAUGGACCCGCGUUGGAUUAGCUAGUUGGUGAGGUAACGGCCCACCAAGGCGACGAUCCAUAGCCGACCUGAGAGGGUGACCGGCCACAUUGGGACUGGGACACGGCCCAAACUCCUACGGGAGGCAGCAGUGGGGAAUAUUGCACAAUGGGCGAAAGCCUGAUGCAGCGACGCCGCGUGAGCGAAGAAGUAUUUCGGUAUGUAAAGCUCUAUCAGCAGGGAAGAUAAUGACGGUACCUGACUAAGAAGCACCGGCUAAAUACGUG
rnacentral:rRNA from 1 species